rnacentral:rRNA from 1 species
AUUGAACGCUGGCGGCAGGCCUAACACAUGCGAGUCGAGCGGAUGAAGGGAGCUUGCUCCUGGAUUCAGCGGCGGACGGGUGAGUAAUGCCUAGGAAUCUGCCUGGUAGUGGGGGAUAACGUCCGGAAACGGGCGCUAAUACCGCAUACGUCCUGAGGGAGAAAGUGGGGGAUCUUCGGACCUCACGCUAUCAGAUGAGCCUAGGUCGGAUUAGCUAGUUGGUGGGGUAAAGGCCUACGAAGGCGACGAUCCGUAACUGGUCUGAGAGGAUGAUCAGUCACACUGGAACUGAGACACGGUCCAGACUCCUACGGGAGGCAGCAGUGGGGAAUAUUGGACAAUGGGCGAAAGCCUGAUCCAGCCAUGCCGCGUGUGUGAAGAAGGUCUUCGGAUUGUAAAGCACUUUAAGUUGGGAGGAAGGGCAGUAAGUUAAUACCUUGCUGUUUUGACGUUACCAACAGAAUAAGCACCGGCUAACUUCGUG